UGGGGAAUUUUGGACAAUGGGGGCAACCCUGAUCCAGCAAUGCCGCGUGAGUGAAGAAGGCCUUCGGGUUGUAAAGCUCUUUUGUCAGGGAAGAAACGGUAGUAGCGAAUAACUAUUACUAAUGACGGUACCUGAAGAAUAAGCACCGGCUAACUACGUGCCAGCAGCCGCGGUAAUACGUAGGGUGCAAGCGUUAAUCGGAAUUACUGGGCGUAAAGCGUGCGCAGGCGGUUGUGUAAGUCAGAUGUGAAAUCCCCGGGCUCAACCUGGGAAUUGCAUUUGAGACUGCACGGCUAGAGUGUGUCAGAGGGGGGUAGAAUUCCACGUGUAGCAGUGAAAUGCGUAGAUAUGUGGAGGAAUACCGAUGGCGAAGGCAGCCCCCUGGGCUAACACUGACGCUCAUGCACGAAAGCGUGGGGAGCAAACAGGAUUAGAUACCCUGGUAGUCCCUGAGCGGGCUGGCAAGGCGCAU
rnacentral:rRNA from 1 species